rnacentral:rRNA from 1 species
GACGAACGCUGGCGGCGUGCUUAACACAUGCAAGUCGAGCGGUAAGGCCCUUUCGGGGGUACACGAGCGGCGAACGGGUGAGUAACACGUGGGUGACCUGCCUCUAGCUCUGGGAUAAGCCCGGGAAACUGGGUCUAAUACUGGAUAUGACUCCAUGACGCAUGUUGUGGGGUGGAAAGCCUUGUGCGGCUAGAGAUGGGCCCGCGGCCUAUCAGCUUGUUGGGG